rnacentral:rRNA from 1 species
AUUGAACGCUGGCGGCAUGCCUUACACAUGCAAGUCGAACGGCAGCGCGGACUUCGGUCUGGCGGCGAGUGGCGAACGGGUGAGUAACAUAUCGGAACGUGCCAGGAAGCGGGGGAUAACUAGUCGAAAGAUUAGCUAAUACCGCAUACGCCCUAAGGGGGAAAGUGGGGGAUCGCAAGACCUCACGCUUGCUGAGCGGCCGAUAUCUGAUUAGCUAGUUGGUAGGGUAAAAGCCUACCAAGGCGACGAUCAGUAGCUGGUCUGAGAGGACGACCCGCCACACUGGGACUGAGACACGGCCCAGACUCCUACGGGAGGCAGCAGUGGGGAAUUUUGGACAACGGGGGCAACCCUGAUCCAGCAAUGCCGCGUGAGUGAAGAAGGCCUUCGGGUUGUAAAGCUCUUUUGUCCGGGAAGAAAUCCUUCUGGCUAAUACCUGGGAGGGAUGACGGUACUGGAAGAAUAAGCACCGGCUAACUACGUGCCAGCCGCCGCAGUAACAC